rnacentral:lncRNA from 1 species
CAGGAUGCCGGGUCACUAGCUCCGAUGAAUCACGACGCACUGCGUGGCAACGGACGCUGACGCGGUGCCACACGGGAGGCCACACGGGCGAUUCGCGUCCCCGUGAUCAAAUAACCCAGAUCUAUUCCCACGCGCACGGACGAUCUAGAUGUGUUCCCUGCUCAAUGCAAUCAGAUGGCCAUAUUUAAACGCAAUCAAACAGUUCAGAUUAGAUUGCGAUGAACGACCUAUAUUAAAUCGCGAUGAACAAUCCAGAUUCACUCUCUAUUUAAUCGCGAUCGAACGGUCCAUAUCAAACGCGAUGGACAACCCAGAUUAGAUGAUAACGAAUAUAAAUAACCCUCUUCACACCAAAUCCUAACCCAAGCCACAAGACGCCCUUACUGGAGAAGAAG